rnacentral:rRNA from 1 species
UACGUAGGGCGCAAGCGUUAUCCGGAAUUAUUGGGCGUAAAGAGCUCGUAGGCGGUUUGUCGCGUCUGCCGUGAAAGUCCGGGGGCUCAACUCCGGAUCUGCGGUGGGUACGGGCAGACUAGAGUGAUGUAGGGGGAGACUGGAAUUCCUGGUGUAGCGGUGAAAUGCGCAGAUAUCAGGAGGAACACCGAUGGCGAAGGCAGGUCUCUGGGCAUUAACUGACGCUGAGGAGCGAAAGCAUGGGGAGCGAACGGG